GCUGGGUGCGGUGGCUCAUACCUGUAAUCCUAGCACUUUGGGAGGCUGAGGUGGGAGGAUCACUUGAGCCCAGGAGUUUGAGACUAGCCUGGGCAAUAUAGUGAGACCCCACCUUUA
rnacentral:SRP_RNA from 1 species